rnacentral:piRNA from 2 species
UAAGCCAAAUCAUUCUGCUGUGUUAGGAUU